GACGAACGCUGGCGGCGUGCCUAAUACAUGCAAGUAGAACGCUGAAGGAGGAGCUUGCUUCUCUGGAUGAGUUGCGAACGGGUGAGUAAGGGUAGGGUAACCUCCCGGGUGGGGGGGGUUACCUUUUGGAACGGUAGGCAAAUACCCAAUAUAAGAGGUGGUGGCUGAAUAACGGUUGGAAAGUUCAAUUGCACCGGCACCAAGUGGACCUUGGGUUGUAUUGCCUGGUGGUGGGGGUAACGGCUCACCAAGGCGACGAUACAUACCCGACCUGGGAGGGUGAUCGGCCACACUGGGAAUGAGACACGGCCCAGACUCCUACGGGAGGCAGCAGUAGGGAAUCUUCGGCAAUGGACGGAAGUCUGACCGAGCAACGCCGCGUGAGUGAAGAAGGUUUUCGGAUCGUAAAGCUCUGUUGUAAGAGAAGAACGAGUGUGAGAGUGGAAAGUUCACACUGUGACGGUACCUUACCAGAAAGGGACGGCUAACUACGUG
rnacentral:rRNA from 1 species